rnacentral:tRNA from 2 species
GCAUCCUUAGCUCAGUUGGAUAGAGCAACAACCUUCGAAGUUGAUGGUCACAGGUUCAAAUCCUGUAGAAUGCG